GCCAGGCAUGGUGGCAAGUGCCUGUAGUCCCAGCUACUUGGGAGGCUGAGGUGAGAGGAUCGCUUGAGCCCAGGAGUUCUGGGCUGUUAUGCGCUAUGCCAAUCAGGAGUCUGCACUAAGUUUGGCAUCAAUAUGGUGACCUCCUGGGAGUGGGGGACCACCAGCUUGCCUAAGGAGAGGUGAACUGGCCCAGGCUGGAAACCGAGCAAGUCAAAACUUCCUGUGCUGAUCAGUAGUGGGAUCACACCUGUGAACAGCCACUGCACUCCAGCCUGGGCAACAUAGCAAGACCUCAUCUCUU
ensembl:misc_RNA Metazoa_SRP Metazoan signal recognition particle RNA